rnacentral:rRNA from 1 species
GUCCAAGGCCAUGCUACCCUGAGCAAGCCCGAUCCCGUCUGCUCUCGGAAGCUAAGCAGGGUCGGGCCUGGUUAGUACUUGGAUGGGAGACCACCUAGGAAGACCAGAGACCAGGUGCUGUAGGCA